rnacentral:tRNA from 1 species
UGGCUCAGAUGGUAAAGUGUCUGCCUGCAAUGCAGGAGACCCAGGUUCAAUCCCUGG